AGGUGUGGUAGUGUGUGCCUGUAGUCCCAGCUACUUGGAAGAUUGAGGCAGGAGGAUCACUUGAACCCAGGAGUUUGAGACUGCAGUGAGCUAUGAUUGCAUCAGUAGCAUCACUGCACUCUAGCCUAGGUGACAGAGUGAGACCCUGUCUCUU
rnacentral:sRNA from 1 species